UCAAGAAAGUACUGGUAAAAUUGUUACUUUACAAGAUUUAACAAAUAUGAAGAUAUCCGAUCAAUCAAGAAAAGAAAACUUAGAUGGCUGCUUAAAUAUACUUAAAGCUAAAUACGGUGCCAAUGUAGCUGUUUUGCGAGACGAAGACAAUAAUUU